rnacentral:rRNA from 1 species
UCUGCUCAAUGAACUUAUUUUAAUAGCCGCGGAAUAUUAACCGUGCUAAGGUAGCAUAAUCAUUAGCCUCUUAAUUAGAGGCUUGUAUGAACGAUGUAACAUUUCAAUUACUUUUUUAAUUUAUCCCUUUUAAUUUAAACUAAGAAUAAAAAUGUUCUUAUUUAUUAAAUAGACGAUAAGACCCUUUUGAACUUAACUUUUGUUUAGCUGGGGCAGCUAAUCAAUAAUAAUCUUCAUUAAAUUUUUUAAAUAAACGACCUAAUAUAAUUAAAUACAUGAACAAGUUACCAUAGGGAUAACAGCGUAAUACCUUUUAAAAGCUCUUAUUUAAAAAGGAUUUUGCGACCUCGAUGUUGAAUUAAUGUAACUUUAAAAUGAAACAAUUUUAAAAGUAGGUCUGUUCGACCUAUAAAACAUUACAUGAUCU